rnacentral:rRNA from 1 species
CCUACGGGAGGCUGCAGUGGGGAAUAUUGCACAAUGGGGGAAACCCUGAUGCAGCGACGCCGCGUGAAGGAUGAAGUAUUUCGGUAUGUAAACUUCUAUCAGCAGGGAAGAAAAUGACGGUACCUGACUAAGAAGCCCCGGCUAACUACGUGCCAGCAGCCGCGGUAAUACGUAGGGGGCAAGCGUUAUCCGGAUUUACUGGGUGUAAAGGGAGCGUAGACGGAGUGGCAAGUCUGAUGUGAAAACCCGGGGCUCAACCACGGGACUGCAAUUGAAACUGUCAGGCUAGAGUGUAGGAGAGGCGAGUGGAAUUCCUAGUGUAGCGGUGGAAUGCGUAGAUAUUAGGAGGAACACCAGUGGCGAAGGCGGUUUGCUGGACGAUGACUGACGUUGAGGCUCGAAAGCGUGGGGAGCAAACAGGAUUAGAUACCCUUGUAGUC